CAGCAGCCGCGGGAAUACAGAGGGUGCGAGCGUUAAUCGGAUUUACUGGGCGUAAAGCGUGCGUAGGCGGCUUUUUAAGUCGGAUGUGAAAUCCCUGAGCUUAACUUAGGAAUUGCAUUCGAUACUGGGAAGCUAGAGUAUGGGAGAGGAUGGUAGAAUUCCAGGUGUAGCGGUGAAAUGCGUAGAGAUCUGGAGGAAUACCGAUGGCGAAGGCAGCCAUCUGGCCUAAUACUGACGCUGAGGUACGAAAGCAUGGGGAGCAAACAGGAUUAGAGACCCGAGUAGUCCCUGUCUCUUAUAA
rnacentral:rRNA from 1 species